GAGCCGAUAUAGUAAAAGACAAUUUUGCCCCCGCCUGCGUUUCUUGCCUCGACACCUGGCGUACUGCUCAGUCCUAUCGUGUCUUCGCUACUUCAAUCCACAGAGAGGUGGAGAGAGAAACAGCGAAGAGGACUGAAAUCGGAGAGGAGGAAGGGAGAAUUUAUCAAGGCCAAGGAAGGUGGUUGUUUGUGAAUUUUGCAGAAUGGAAUAGCAGAGAAGAAUUGGUGGGGGAGAGUUUGGGUUGGGUUUUCGUUGGGAUCGACAAUGGUUAGUAGUAAACUACAAAGGGAGGGCAUAUGCUCAAAGAGUUGAGCCAAAGCUUGCUUUGGUUGAGGUACAGCUGCCAAAUGAGGCAUUCCUAGAGAAUUGGGAACCUACUAAAAGCUCUUAUCUAGUAUUAAAAGCACCUGGGAUGAAUGUGCUGAAGAUUUCCUUGAGUACACCGCAAGAAAUAGCAGAUGGGGUUUCAGUAUGGGAGUGGUCUGGUGCUGCGCUAGAUAAUUAAGAAGGUGCAAAGGCUGCUUUGAGUCUUGCUGGGACAAUGCUUGGAUGAGGGUGUUGCCUUCUAUCACAGCUAUUGCACAUGUUAGCCCAACAGAAGUUCUUGAAGAUAUGCCUGCAAUUUGCUUCGACAAGGAAUGAAACAAAUAAUAAUGAACUCAGAAACCCAUGAAGCUAAAGCGUUGGAGAAGGUGGAGGAUAAGUAAUGAGAACUCUGAAGCAUUGGUUUUUAUCAUUGAUGAGAGUUCACUCGCUUACACUAUAGAGGCAUAAGCGAUGGAGGAGGUUUCUGAGAAUCUUAAGAAACAAUUGAACAAGUUAGUGCUAGAUGAUGAAAUUAAACAUCUCCUGUAAAAGAUAUUGUAAACAUAGACACAGCAAGGUGCUCUGAUAGGGGAAAUUGAAGCAAAUGAGAAGCAUAGAUAUCAACUCCAACUUGAGGAGGCCAUUAGUAACAAUGGCAACAAAACUUGCGCAUUCUUAGCCAACACAGGCUAUUGGGUUAAUGGCUAAUGCUGAGCUUCAAUUCAAAAUGGCAAUGAGGGAUAAAGUCAUUAACAACCAACGGAAGGCGGUGAGAAACAUAUGAGACUUGCUGAUGAUUAGUUACUCAAUAUAACAGUACAAUCAUGCACCUCUGCGAAGUUUAGAAAAAUCAGAGUAAUGUAGGUGAAAGUGCGGGGAUUUUUUGUUAGAUUAAGGAAACAUAUAUACUUGAGCUACAAAGGAGGUAACUCUCUCAGUUUAUUUGUAAGGUAUAUGAUUAAUUAGGCACUGCUCUUUUGAUUCACGUCAACUUGAAAGUGAAUGAAUCCAUAUUGGUAAUAUAAUUAGAUAAUGAAUACUUGCUGGAUAAAGUUUUUAAGCUUAGGCAGAAAAGUCUGCAAGUGAUCAACUUUA